rnacentral:rRNA from 1 species
CCUACGGGCGGCUGCAGUGGGGAAUAUUGGACAAUGGGCGAAAGCCUGAUCCAGCCAUGCCGCGUGUGUGAAGAAGGCCUUCGGGUUGUAAAGCACUUUCAGUGGGGAAGAAAGCCUUGGGGCUAAUACCCUCGAGGAAGGACAUCACCCACAGAAGAAGCACCGGCUAACUCCGUGCCAGCAGCCGCGGUAAUACGGAGGGUGCGAGCGUUAAUCGGAAUUACUGGGCGUAAAGCGCGCGUAGGCGGUCUGAUAAGCCGGUUGUGAAAGCCCCGGGCUCAACCUGGGAACGGCAUCCGGAACUGUCAGGCUAGAGUGCAGGAGAGGAAGGUAGAAUUCCCGGUGUAGCGGUGAAAUGCGUAGAGAUCGGGAGGAAUACCAGUGGCGAAGGCGGCCUUCUGGACUGACACUGACGCCGAGGUGCGAAAGCGUGGGUAGCAAACAGGAUUAGAUACCCUGGUAGUC